CAUGCAAGUCGAACGGAAAGGCCCUUUCGGGGGUACACGAGUGGCGAACGGGUGAGUAACACGUGGGUGAUCUGCCCUGCACUUUGGGAUAAGCCUGGGAAACUGGGUCUAAUACCGAAUACACCCUGCUGGUCGCAUGGCCUGGUGGGGGAAAGCUUUUGCGGUGUGGGAUGGGCCCGCGGCCUAUCAGCUUGUUGGUGGGGUGAUGGCCUACCAAGGCGACGACGGGUAGCCGGCCUGAGAGGGUGUCCGGCCACACUGGGACUGAGAUACGGCCCAGACUCCUACGGGAGGCAGCAGUGGGGAAUAUUGCACAAUGGGCGCAAGCCUGAUGCAGCGACGCCGCGUGAGGGAUGACGGUCUUCGGGUUGUAAACCUCUUUCAAUAGGGACGAAGCGUGAGUGACGGUACCUAUAGAAGAAGCACCGGCCAACUACGUGCCAGCAGCCGCGGUAAUACGUAGGGUGCGAGCGUUGUCCGGAAUUACUGGGCGUAAAGAGCUCGUAGGUGGUUUGUCGCGUUGUUCGUGAAAACUCACA
rnacentral:rRNA from 1 species